rnacentral:misc_RNA from 1 species
GAAAAUUACAAGGAGAAAAGAAGAAAAUCAAUUCUUAGUGUAGACUAACUUAUAAGAACUAUAAAAGGCCGUGUGAGCAUCUCCAGUCUCUCUGCUAUUUAAUGAGCUAUCUAUCCAUAUAGGAAAAACAAAACAAACAGAAAGAAGAAAUUGCAGCUAAAUAAUCAACUAGCUGACUCCUUUGCUAUCUUCUCAGCCUUAGCAAUGACUUCUUCUAUACCCCCAACCAGGUAGAACGAUUGCUCCGAUAGGUCAUCAUAUUUACCGUCAAGGACACCCUGAAAACUUUGGAUGCUCUCUUUCAACUCUACAUACUUUCCAGGGGCACCAGUAAAUACUUCUGCAACGUGGAAAGGCUGACUCAAGAACCUCUGAAUUUUACGGGCACGAGCAACAGUUAAUUUGUCAUCUUCACUCAAUUCAUCCAUUCCCAGAAUGGCGAUAAUAUCCUGAAGAUUCUUGUAGUUCUGGAGAACCUUUUGUACACCUCGUGCAGUGUUGUAAUGAUCUUCCCCUAGGAUAUGAG